GACGAACGCUGGCGGCGUGCUUAACACAUGCAAGUCGAACGGAAAGGCCCUGCUUUUGUGGGGUGCUCGAGUGGCGAACGGGUGAGUAACACGUGAGUAACCUGCCCUUGACUUUGGGAUAACUUCAGGAAACUGGGGCUAAUACCGGAUAGGAGCUCCUGCUGCAUGGUGGGGGUUGGAAAGUUUCGGCGGUUGGGGAUGGACUCGCGGCUUAUCAGCCUGUUGGUGGGGUAGUGGCUUACCAAGGCUUUGACGGGUAGCCGGCCUGAGAGGGUGACCGGCCACAUUGGGACUGAGAUACGGCCCAGACUCCUACGGGAGGCAGCAGUGGGGAAUAUUGCACAAUGGGCGGAAGCCUGAUGCAGCAACGCCGCGUGCGGGAUGACGGCCUUCGGGUUGUAACCGCUUUCGCCUGUGACGAAGCGUGAGUGACGGUAAUGGGUAAAGAAGCACCGGCUAACUACGUG
rnacentral:rRNA from 1 species